UACGUAGGGGGCAAGCGUUGUCCGGAUUUAUUGGGCGUAAAGAGCGCGCAGGCGGUCGUUCAAGUCGAGUGUGAAAGCCCCCGGCUCAACUGGGGAGGGUCACUCGAUACUGAUCGACUCGAAGGCAGGAGAGGGAAGCGGAAUUCCCGGUGUAGUGGUGAAAUGCGUAGAUAUCGGGAGGAACACCAGUGGCGAAGGCGGGUCUCUGGGCCGUAACUGACGCUGAGGAGCGAAAGCGUGGGGAGCGAACAGG
rnacentral:rRNA from 1 species